AAGAACGCUGGCGGCAGGCCUAAGACAUGCAAGUCGUACGCGAACGACCUUUCGGGGUUAAGUAGAGUGGCGAACGGGUUAGUAACGCGUGGGAACAUACACAGCACAGGGGGAUAACCAUUGGAAACGAUGGCUAAUACCGCAUACGCCCUAUUGGGGAAAGAUUUAUCGGUGUUGGAUUGGCCCGCGUUAGAUUAGCUAGUUGGUGGGGUAAUGGCUCACCAAGGCGACGAUUUAUAGCUGGUUUGAGAGGAUGAUCAGCAACACUGGAACUGAGACACGGUCCAGACUCCUACGGGAGGCAGCAGUCGGGAAUAUUGUGCAAUGGGGGCAACCCUGACACAGCCAUGCCGCGUGAGUGAAGAAGGCCUUAGGGUUGUAAAGCUCUUUCAGAUGUGAGGAUGAUGACGAUAGCAUCAGAAGAAGCUCCGGCUAACUUCGUGCCAGCAGCCGCGGUAAUACGAAGGGAGCUAGCGUUGUUCGGAAUUACUGGGCGUAAAGGGCGUGUAGGCGGAUUAUCAAGUUAGGGGUGAA
rnacentral:rRNA from 1 species